rnacentral:rRNA from 1 species
GAUGAACGCUGGCGGCGUGCCUAAUACAUGCAAGUCGAGCGAACCACUUCGGUGGUGAGCGGCGAACGGGUGAGUAACACGUAGGUGAUCUGCCCAUCAGACGGGGACAACGAUUGGAAACGAUCGCUAAUACCGGAUAGGACGAAAGUUUAAAGGUGCUUCUGGCACCGCUGAUGGAUGAGCCUGCGGCGCAUUAGCUAGUUGGUAGGGUAAAGGCCUACCAAGGCGACGAUGCGUAGCCGACCUGAGAGGGUGGACGGCCACACUGGGACUGAGACACGGCCCAGACCCCUACGGGAGGCAGCAGUAGGGAAUCUUCAGCAAUGGGCGAAAGCCUGACCGAGCAACGCCGCGUGAAUGAUGAAGGCCUUCGGGUUGUAAAAUUCUGUUAUAAGGGAAGAACGACUUUAGUAGGAAAUGGCUAGAGUGUGACGGUACCUUAUGAGAAAGCCACGGCUAACUACGUGCCAGCCGCCGCGGUAA